rnacentral:lncRNA from 1 species
AGGUGGUUGAGGGGGCAAGGCCACCGUAGUAUGCCCGUAGAUACGAGAAGUUUGCUGACAGGACAAAUUGUCAUGUCUGCGUGCGUGGGAGUGUGGCCGCACGGUAGAAAGUAUGUUCGUGCGACUGGUAGCAUGCAUGGCCUGUACGUGCUAUGCGUAUAGGACUGGCACAUGCAGGCACAGUGCUGCGCAGGUGCUGACACAUGGGCUCGCACGGUGUGAUCGCGCA